rnacentral:rRNA from 1 species
UGCCUAAUACAUGCAAGUCGAACGAACUGUGGAAAGCUUGCUUUCAGAGUUAGUGGCGAACGGGUAGAGUAACACGUAAGUAACCUAGCUAUUAGACGAGGAUAACUACUGGAAACGGUAGCUAAGACUGGAUAUGAUAGAAAUAUUUAAAGGAUGCUAAGGCAUCGCUAAUAGAGGGGCUUGCGGCGCAUUAGCUAGUUGGUAGGGUAAAAGCCAACCAAGGCGAUGAUGCGUAGCCGACCUGAGAGGGUGACCGGCCACACUGGGACUGAGACACGGCCCAGACUCCUACGGGAGGCAGCAGUAGGGAAUCUUCGGCAAUGGACGGAAGUCUGACCGAGCAACGCCGCGUGAGUGAAGAAAGUUUUCGGAUUGUAAAGCUCUGUUAUUAGGGAAGAAAGGCUCUAGGAGGAAAUGCUUAGGGAUUGACGGUACCUAAUGAGGAAGCCACGGCUAACUACGUGCCAGCAGCGGC